GUCUGUGUGGCAUAGUGGUUUGAGGACUGGACUAAGACUCUGGAGACCAGGGCUUGAAUCCUGGCUUGGCCA